rnacentral:tRNA from 1 species
GCCGCCGAAGCUCAAUCGGUCGAGCACUCGUUUCGUAAACGAGAGGAAGUCGGUUCGAUCCCGACCGCCGGCA